UACAUGUUCUCAUUGCCACAUUUCAAUUUUACCAAUUUCAGCCACAAGCUUUGCUCUGCGGCCAUGGCGACUCGUGCGGCAUUCUUCCACUCCUCUUCACUGCCGAGAACGAUUCUCCUUCCGUUCUUCCACCGCCAAACCGGUCUCCGUACUUCCAUUUUCUGUUUCAAGCAAUUAUCCUCAACCCCCCGGUUCUCUUCCACCUCAAAACCUUCUACAGUGGUGGUUCACUCUCAGGCCAAGCGAGGCUCCUUAUUCAAAGAAGGCGAAGUAGCUUCCCCUUCUGAUCUUCAUUUCGAAGCACCGCUUAAAAUCGUGGAAUAUCCAGACCCUAUACUGAGGGCGAAGAGCAAACGAAUUGAUACGUUCGAUGAGAACUUGAAGAAGCUGGUUGAUGAAAUGUUCGAUGUAAUGUACAAAACGGAUGGUAUUGGGCUCUCAGCACCCCAAGUAGGAAUUAAUGUUCAACUUAUGGUGUUUAAUCCAGUUGGAGAACGUGGUGAGGGAGAGGAAAUUGUUCUCGUCAAUCCAAGAGUUAACAAAUAUUCAAAAAAAAUGGUGCUUUUCAAUGAAGGUUGCCUAUCAUUUCCUAGGAUUUAUGCUGAUGUUGAGAGACCAGAAUCUGUAAAGAUCGACGCAAGGGACAUUAAUGGUGCUAGAUUUACUGUCAACUUGUCAGGUCUUCCUGCACGGGUUUUCCAGCAUGAAUUUGACCAUUUGCAGGGGAUUCUGUUCUUUGAUAGAAUGACAGAAGAAGUUCUUGAUAGUAUUCGUGGAGAUCUGCAGGCCUUAGAAAAUAAAUAUGAGGAUAAGACUGGACUCCCAAGUCCUGAAAGAAUUGAAACACGCAAAAGAAAGAAGGUUGCUGUUGGUUUUGGGAAAUCAUGAUUGCAAAUAUGGGCUUUUUCAGAUGCAUCAGAUAUAUAAAAAAUAACAGGUGAACUUUAGGCUGAUCCUGCAGAUCUUGUGCCUCAGAAUUUGCGGACAUUGAACAUGAAAGCACAUGUUACAAGUUGGUGGUUGCAAUAGAUGGUUGUGUUGCAAGUAAUUGACAAAAGAAACCACAGCUGAAGAUUCGUUUGAGCAUUUGCUGCUAUCACAGUAGAAUUGGUCAAUCAUGAUCGGAGUUUCAACUCUAGAAACUUGAAUGUUUGAGAAUGUGAUUCCUUGCACUGAGCCUGAUCCUCCCUGCAGUAG